rnacentral:lncRNA from 1 species
AGAGUUCUAAUUUUAAUUUUAAAAAAUGGAAAAUAAUUGAAUUGCCACAUUGUAAACUGUCAAGUCAUGCAUUUGAGCAAAAGAAUACGAAUCUAAAACAAAGUGAAUGGUUCGUUUCCCAAUUGAAAACUCAGCACAUCAAAUAUCUUAAUACUACGAGAACAGAAGAAUGGUCUGCAAUGAUCAGUUUCAGAUGCUACAAAUGAAUCUCCACAUAUUUGAUUCAAUGCAUUGAAAUUUGAAAUUUUCCAAUCUACCUUUAUCGCAU